AAAGAAAAGAAAAGAAGAAGAAAUCAAGAGGCGUCGAAGAAUUUCUUUCUCCUUUUGGUUGAUUAUUUUCUUCUCGGCAUACCACUCGAAGCUAAAACCGUUCGCGACGAGAGAAACGGUACAUCUCGAACAUGCAACGCUUCAGCGUCGACUGACUCAAACGAGCGAGUCUAUGAAUUUCGACGAGACGAAUCGAACGCCUCCGACCGCGAUCUUUCUAUGAUUUGACUAAAUGACAAAUCUCUCGCAAUGAUUGCCAAGCGAGUAGAAAAUAAACUAAAUCCAUCAAAUCAUUUCGAAUAUGAAUUAUCUUUCGUUUAUAUCGAAAUAAAUGAAUUUUUUUACGUUUCCAAGUCAUCUCGAUUCUUUGUUACGCGCCUACGCGACCUUGCCUAUUGAAAUUUUGGCAUAAACAAGCAUGACAUUGCUUGAGAUUCUCUUCUAUAGUAUUUUUAGUCUUUGCACUUAUUUGUGUUUCCUUUGAACGCGAGCGACUGAUCCCAACGCAACUCUGCUAUCUCGAACGCAAAUAAUUAAGUACUUUCUUCUGAUGUCAGAAUCUUACAUAUUCGGCACAUUCAAGACAAAGAAAUAAAGUAAAAUCGGUUACGUGCGAAAUGGACAAUCUAUAAACGGAGAAUGAAGGAUAAACUCGUGCUCGUAUAUACAUAUGUACACAUACGUAAAUAAUAGGUAUAUAACAACAAGGAAUGAGAAUGACGAUUAUCGCGAGAGACACGUUCGUAAUACAAUGCCGUUCGCUUCGUAUCGCGUAAAAGGCUAUUCCCAAGAUAAAAACGAAAAAUGCAAGCGUUUAAGGAAUUAAGUAUUAUAUACACAUCACGUAUGUUACUGGCGACAUUAAUAGCGAGCUUAUAAAAUAUUGCUAUUGCUGUAUAACUCGAGAGGAGAGUUAACCAGAGUGGCCGCGUAAUCGGUAAUUUUAAAUCGUCUUCUUCUACGACUCCUUCCUCUUGUUAAUUUUGCCGAGUUAGGCGAAGAAACGUAACAAGAACGGCACGUAGGAAGGAGCUAGGGCCAAAAAGUCAAGUAUACUAUCGUUAAAGCAGACCGCCGACGCGAAAUAAGAAGAAGAAGAAGAAUAAGAAGAAGAUGACGAUUAUUUUAAAUAAGAGGAACAUUUUCUUUUGAAUCUUUCGAAUCAGUGUACUCAACGAUGCUUCACAGUUUAUGGCAAGAAAAAUAAACAGGUAGACGAGAAGAGAGGAGGCAUUUAAAAAUAGAUGACUCUUCGUCGUUGUUGUCGUCGAUUUUUGUCUGUCGUCGAUUUUUGCCUGUCGUCGACGGUCGUCGACGGUCGUUGACGGUCGUCGUCGUUGUCAAGCAAAGAAGAGAUAGAUGAGUACCUUGAUUCUUCGGUGCAUCACCGCGUUCUUACGCAAUUGAUGCGCACGAACUCAACGAAUGUUGAUAGAAAGACAAGCAUACUUUAGUUAAAAAUAAAAUAGGUUAUAAAGGAAGAUAAUCUCAAAACAAAAGUUAAAUAAAAUUAUCUUCUUUUUUCUCUCUGUAGAAAAGAAACGUGCGAAUGAGAUUGGAGUAAAGCCAUGUGGUUCGAGUUUAGAAUCGAACGUAACUAAGUACAUAAUUUACCGCCUGUUAUCAAUUUCGAUCGAUCGAGAUCGAAAGUAUUUACGAUGUUUCUGUAUAAUUGCAGAAGGAUAGAUAAAGUUUUUACAUAUCUACGAUAUAUAUAUAUAUAUAUAUAUAUAUAUAUAUAUAUAUAUAUCAUUUGAUCCCUAAUACGUAAUAGCGAUAGGAUAGAUCCAAUGACAUAUUUUGCACGGAAAAAGGAACUUAAAUAACUGGCCAUUGGAUUGUCCCAUUUUGUUAUAAGCCUACCUGAUAUUUUUGUGCACGAAGAAGAAACUUGGACGAAGGGAGGAUGAAAACGAAGACGAAGGAAAACGUUCCUCUCGGCGAAUACAGCCUCCAAGGAAUGAUAUGCGAGAAAUCUCGAAUGCAACUUUCACCGGAUUACUGGCACGCAAAGUCGCACGGCGUCGUCGAACGUGUAACACCUUUGAAAUACUAAUUCUAAACCAAGAACAACAAGAAUUGUCCAACUUUGAUCCAGAAAAUAUCGAGCUAACGCUUAAAAUCAUCCGACUCCGUUCGCUUAAUGAUAGCUAAUGAUUUAUCUCUUUCGAUCCUGUCGAACUUUAAGGACAGAUUUAAUAAUAGUCAAAUAGAAAAAGUAAAUUGUGCGAUAGUGUUAUAACAUUCAUAGUUAUAGAUGCAUAGGUGCACACACCGCAAACGUUUAUUGGUCGACGAGAGAACGUUCUUUCUCGAUUGGUUGCUUUGCAAAGUGUAUCACGAUCGUGUCAACCUAAAACUUUAAACCAUAUAUAUAUCAGACAUAUUUAUAUACAUACGUAUAUACGAAUGCAUUGGGAUGCCUCAUUGGAAUGCAUAUGAAUGCAUGCGGUACGACUAUCGCCGAAAUGAAUUGCGUGUUUCCUCCAAAAGAACGUUUCUCCUUCGAAAUAGGAUUUUUAUAUACGAUCAAAGAGUAAAAAUCAAUCUUAACAUUCUACUUCUUCUUUUCUACAUUGGAAACUAGAAUUUAGCAUAACAAGUUUCACCGUAGAGAAUGUUUUUUAAUAGCUAACACAACAUAUUACGAUGCAUUCCGUGACAUGUAAAUUAUGCAUAAAUUUCCUGACCGAAUAUAUAUAUAUAUAUACACAUACAUAUACAUAUACAUUCUUGCCAAAACAUUUAAAAAAUUAUCUACAAAGAUAUGAUAUCUCUUUAUUGUACUUCUUAAAGAUUAUCAACAUUCUUCUAGAGUAAGAAAAGAAUUAAAAAAAGAACAAAGAAAGAAAAGAAAGACUUUUUUUUAUUGGGCGCGGUCGGAUAUCAACAAAUUUUUCUAUAUGAUCGAGCAUCUUGAUAUAGAUACAAACUUGUAAACAAUGUAACGAAACGUAAAUAAACUUCACCUUCGCGACGCUUGUUUAUUAGCAACGGAUUUGAAAGAUGUGAAAUACAUGUCGCUUCUCCCUCCCUCUCUCUCUCUUUCUCUCUCUCUCUCUCUCUCUCUCUCUCUCUCUCUCUCACUCCCUCGGGAUUGUUUACAAUACUAGUUUAGCGCAAACAGCUGGAAAGUGAAGGACAUAACCUACCGCUUUAGAUUUUUUUCAAUGUACUAUAAAGGAUCGCAUAUUGAUGUAAAUAAGUGAUCGUCUUUUUUGUUUACCUUUGUACAGUCUGCCAGGUAACGUGAGACUUCGCUCGUUGAAUAAAUCGUAUGCGUUAUACGAAACUCUUGUUCUCUUUGUAUUUCUCGUGUAUCUACACCUAAGUUCUAGUGUACUACUAAUGAUCACGCUCCACUACAUUUCGUUGAUUUUCGAACGAUGAAACUCUUUCUACAAAUCGACGUAAUUUUUCUUCUUGAAUGAUUCUCGAAUACACAUAGCAUCUCGAUUCACAAAGAAGCAGUAAGAAUGGCAUACAUAUGUCAAGUAUGCUCUGAACUGUACGGCGAAACGUAUGUUACUAUCCGCCGUUCCAAUUCACUUCUAUUUAUUCACUAUUUUCCGUCACAUUUUGUCAGUAGGUGGCGCGAGGUGAAAAAUCUGAAAAUGUCAGUCGAUCUGUUUCGUUUCUUUAAAAGGUCUGUCGUUUUUCUCCUACGUCUCUAUUCUUUUUAUCCUUUUUAUUUGAAAAUUUUUAUUAUCAUUAUAAUUAUAUUCUAUUUGAUCAAACGAUUUUGAUCCAAUACACUUUGACUUAACCUCUUGUUCCUACUUAAGAUUAUGUUAUAUUGUCGGUCAUCCAACAAAAAGACAUAAAAAAAACUUAGGCGCUAUAUUAAAACUUAAUAUCAAAUCUUUUUACAAUUAGAUUCAUUUAAAAACUUUGUAAAUAUCAAAUUAUGUUCUGUGAAAUAAUGUUCUUAUGUUAUAGUUCUUCUGCCUGAUUUCGUCGUUGAAAGGCCAUAAAAAGAUUCUUAACAAAAAUUUGUUUGCAUUAUAUAUAUAUAUAUAAAGAACAUACAAUUUAUUUGUCAUUUUGUGUUAUAGAUUUGCAUAAAACAUUGUAAUGGAUUCUAAAAAAGAGAAAUUUAAACAAACAUGCGAUCUUUUUAAGAUUACUAUCAGUUAAAAACUUCACAAACUUAAGUUCUUAAUGGUAAUUUUUAUCUCAUAACUUUUUUAUGUGAUUUCAUUGAUGAGACAUCGUUAAGAUAUUCUUAUCAUCGAAUGUAGAGAUAGCCAGCUAAUUCUUACGUUUUAUCAUAUUUAGAAAAAUUAACAUUAUGCUAAAAUAAAACUAUUAUUGAAAUGAAAUUGAAAACUUUGUGUCAGGCUUAAGUACACAGUCCUAUUGUACUUUUAUUUUCUUUCAUUAUUAUAUUAAGAAAAAGGAAUCGUGUGUGUUAUAAUUAAUUUGAAGAUUAGAAUUAACCAUUAUUGUCAGAUUCUUCAAAUUAUUAUCUUUCUUACAUAUAUCUAAUUAUUAGUCCAAUUGCUUUGUAAAUUUUUGUACUUUUAUGUAGAAAAAUUUUAUAAUUGAUAGCAAUGAAGAAUGCCAAACUUAAUUCUUCAAACUUAAUAAAGAACAAAUUCCAAACAUUUAGAUAUUCAAAAUAUCCUGUAGACAGUUGA